rnacentral:tRNA from 1 species
GGCGAUAUGGCCGAGCGGUCUAAGGCGCCAGAAUCAGGAUGUCCUCGUAUUUGUCCUAUCUGGUCCUCACGGGCGUGGGUUCGAAUCCCACUGUCGUCA